AUACGUAGGGUGCAAGCGUUAAUCGGAUUUACUGGGCGUAAAGCGCGCGUAGGUGGCUAAUUAAGUCAAAUGUGAAAUCCCCGAGCUUAACUUGGGAAUUGCAUUCGAUACUGGUUAGCUAGAGUAUGGGAGAGGAUGGUAGAAUUCCAGGUGUAGCGGUGAAAUGCGUAGAGAUCUGGAGGAAUACCGAUGGCGAAGGCAGCCAUCUGGCCUAAUACUGACACUGAGGUGCGAAAGCAUGGGGAGCAAACAGGAUUAGAUACCCUGGUAGUCCAUGCCGUAAACGAUGUCUACUAGCCGUUGGGGCCCUUGAGGCUUUAGUGGCGCAGCUAACGCGAUAAGUAGACCGCCUGGGGAGUACGGUCGCAAGACUAAAACUCAAAUGAAUUGACGGGG
rnacentral:rRNA from 1 species